CGUUAUUCCGUGACAGUGCGGAUCGUUUAGCUAUCGGCCGAUUCUAUUAUUUACGACUACGUGCGCCUGAUAAAAAUCGGUUUAACGGCCAGAGAGAUUGGAGACCGUGACGCAACCUGCCGUCGAUUCUAUCGUUUAUGGCUCGGUGACUGAUAAAAACCGGUUCGCCGGUCCAAAACGUUCGGGGAUCUCCUCGAUUUCCCAUUGAUUCUACGAUUUUUUCAUCCUAUCGUUUCGUUCGCGCCGGAUUUCAUUCGAGAUUAGUUUAUUAUCAUAGAACAGCGCGAAGCAUCUAAACUCGACAUUCCUGGUACGAAGAAAACAACAGCAGGAAAUGUGGAUUACCAUCGAUCCACGAUCCCAAGAUCCAGCGAACUUUCAUAAAACUCGGUUUCACGACUCGAAUGUUGAAUCGCAACGAAAUUGAAUGAUCAGCCCUGACGUUCCGAUUUCUGAACGAGUCUUCUCUGAUUUGUUUGUUACGCGGCAACCGAGGGGCCAGAUACUUUCCGAGGCUGCCGAAGUUGGAGAGUGCACUUGAUUUAACCAAAUACGUAACUGCACUGUUACCGUAAUACCAGAUUAACUUUUUGCGGUGGUCCGUGAACCGCGUG